rnacentral:rRNA from 1 species
CCGCCGGCGACCGGCGCACGGGUGAGUAACACGUAUGCGACCUGCCCCCCGCAGGGGGAUAACCGGGAGAAAUCCCGACUAAUACCGCGUAACGCCGCGGACCUGCAUGGGUCUGCGGCCAAAGGAAGCGAUUCCGGCGGGGGAUGGGCAUGCGGCGCAUUAGCUAGUCGGCGGGGUAACGGCCCACCGAGGCGACGAUGCGUAGGGGUUCUGAGAGGAAGGUCCCCCACACUGGUACUGAGACACGGACCAGACUCCUACGGAAGGCAGCAG